rnacentral:rRNA from 1 species
AACGAACGCUGGCGGCAUGCCUAACACAUGCAAGUCGAACGAGACCUUCGGGUCUAGUGGCGCACGGGUGCGUAACGCGUGGGAACCUGCCCUUAGGUUCGGAAUAACUCCCCGAAAGGGGUGCUAAUACCGGAUAAUGUCUUCGGACCAAAGAUUUAUCGCCUUUGGAUGGGCCCGCGUUGGAUUAGCUAGUUGGUAGGGUAAAAGCCUACCAAGGCGACGAUCCAUAGCUGGUCUGAGAGGAUGAUCAGCCACACUGGGACUGAGACACGGCCCAGACUCCUACGCAAGGCAGCAGUGGGGAAUAUUGGACAAGGGGCGAAAGCCUGAUCCAGCAAUGCCGCGUGAGUGAUGAAGGCCUUAGGGUUGUAAAGCUCUUUUACCCGGGAUGAUAAUGACAGUACCGGGAGAAUAAGCUCCGGCUAACUCCGUG